rnacentral:rRNA from 1 species
GUUAUAACCGGCGAUUUCCGAAUGGGGAAACCCAGUGUGAUUCGUCACACUAUCAUUAACUGAAUCCAUAGGUUAAUGAGGCGAACCGGGGGAACUGAAACAUCUAAGUACCCCGAGGAAAAGAAAUCAACCGAGAUUCCCCCAGUAGCGGCGAGCGAACGGGGAGGAGCCCAGAGCCUGAAUCAGCAUGUGUGUUAGUGGAAGCGUCUGGAAAGGCGCGCGAUACAGGGUGACAGCCCCGUACACAAAAGCGCAUGUGCUGUGAGCUCGAUGAGUAGGGCGGGACACGUGGUAUCCUGUCUGAAUAUGGGGGGACCAUCCUCCAAGGCUAAAUACUCCUGACUGACCGAUAGUGAACCAGUACCGUGAGGGAAAGGCGAAAAGAACCCCGGCGAGGGGAGUGAAAAAGAACCUGAAACCGUGUACGUACAAGCAGUGGGAGCACCCUUCGGGGUGUGACUGCGUACCUUUUGUAUAAUGGGUCAGCGACUUAUAUUCUGUAGCAAGGUUAACCGUAUAGGGGAGCCGGAGGGAAACCGAGUCUUAACCGGGCGUUAAGUUGCAGGGUAUAGACCCGAAACCCGGUGAUCUAGCCAUGGGCAGGUUGAAGGUUGGGUAACACUAACUGGAGGACCGAACCGACUAAUGUUGAAAAAUUAGCGGAUGACCUGUGGCUGGGGGUGAAAGGCCAAUCAAACCGGGAGAUAGCUGGUUCUCCCCGAAAGCUAUUUAGGUAGCGCCUCGUGAAUUCAUCUCCGGGGGUAGAGCACUGUUUCGGCUAGGGGGCCAUCCCGGCUUACCAACCCGAUGCAAACUGCGAAUACCGGAGAAUGUUAUCACGGGAGACACACGGCGGGUGCUAACGUCCGUCGUGAAGAGGGAAACAACCCAGACCGCCAGCUAAGGUCCCAAAGUCAUGGUUAAGUGGGAAACGAUGUGGGAAGGCCCAGACAGCCAGGAUGUUGGCUUAGAAGCAGCCAUCAUUUAAAGAAAGCGUAAUAGCUCACUGGUCGAGUCGGCCUGCGCGGAAGAUGUAACGGGGCUAAACCAUGCACCGAAGCUGCGGCAGCGAACGUAUCACCCAAGACAACUUUACGGAGUUGACGAUUGACGGAGCGAAGCGACGUCAAAGCGUUCAUUAAAGUCGAGUUGGCUUAGGGAUACGUUCGUUGGGUAGGGGAGCGUUCUGUAAGCCUGUGAAGGUGUGUCGUGAGGCAUGCUGGAGGUAUCAGAAGUGCGAAUGCUGACAUAAGUAACGAUAAAGCGGGUGAAAAGCCCGCUCGCCGGAAGACCAAGGGUUCCUGUCCAACGUUAAUCGGGGCAGGGUGAGUCGACCCCUAAGGCGAGGCCGAAAGGCGUAGUCGAUGGGAAACGGGUUAAUAUUCCCGUACUUGGUGUUACUGCGAAGGGGGGACGGAGAAGGCUAUGUUGGCCGGGCGACGGUUGUCCCGGUUUAAGCGUGUAGGUGUGUGUUCCAGGUAAAUCCGGUUCACUUUAACACUGAGGCGUGACGACGAGGCACUACGGUGCUGAAGCAACAAAUGCCCUGCUUCCAGGAAAAGCCUCUAAGCAUCAGGUAACAUCAAAUCGUACCCCAAACCGACACAGGUGGUCAGGUAGAGAAUACCAAGGCGCUUGAGAGAACUCGGGUGAAGGAACUAGGCAAAAUGGUGCCGUAACUUCGGGAGAAGGCACGCUGACACGUAGGUGAAGUGAUUUACUCAUGGAGCUGAAGUCAGUCGAAGAUACCAGCUGGCUGCAACUGUUUAUUAAAAACACAGCACUGUGCAAACACGAAAGUGGACGUAUACGGUGUGACGCCUGCCCGGUGCCGGAAGGUUAAUUGAUGGGGUCAGCGCAAGCGAAGCUCCUGAUCGAAGCCCCGGUAAACGGCGGCCGUAACUAUAACGGUCCUAAGGUAGCGAAAUUCCUUGUCGGGUAAGUUCCGACCUGCACGAAUGGCGUAAUGAUGGCCAGGCUGUCUCCACCCGAGACUCAGUGAAAUUGAACUCGCUGUGAAGAUGCAGUGUACCCGCGGCAAGACGGAAAGACCCCGUGAACCUUUACUAUAGCUUGACACUGAACAUUGAGCCUUGAUGUGUAGGAUAGGUGGGAGGCUUUGAAGUGUGGACGCCAGUCUGCAUGGAGCCGACCUUGAAAUACCACCCUUUAAUGUUUGAUGUUCUAACGUGGACCCGUAAUCCGGGUUGCGGACAGUGUCUGGUGGGUAGUUUGACUGGGGCGGUCUCCUCCUAAAGAGUAACGGAGGAGCACGAAGGUUGGCUAAUCCUGGUCGGACAUCAGGAGGUUAGUGCAAUGGCAUAAGCCAGCUUGACUGCGAGCGUGACGGCGCGAGCAGGUGCGAAAGCAGGUCAUAGUGAUCCGGUGGUUCUGAAUGGAAGGGCCAUCGCUCAACGGAUAAAAGGUACUCCGGGGAUAACAGGCUGAUACCGCCCAAGAGUUCAUAUCGACGGCGGUGUUUGGCACCUCGAUGUCGGCUCAUCACAUCCUGGGGCUGAAGUAGGUCCCAAGGGUAUGGCUGUUCGCCAUUUAAAGUGGUACGCGAGCUGGGUUUAGAACGUCGUGAGACAGUUCGGUCCCUAUCUGCCGUGGGCGCUGGAGAACUGAGGGGGGCUGCUCCUAGUACGAGAGGACCGGAGUGGACGCAUCACUGGUGUUCGGGUUGUCAUGCCAAUGGCACUGCCCGGUAGCUAAAUGCGGAAGAGAUAAGUGCUGAAAGCAUCUAAGCACGAAACUUGCCCCGAGAUGAGUUCUCCCUGAGACUUAGAGUCUCCUGAAGGAACGUUGAAGACGACGACGUUGAUAGGCCGGGUGUGUAAGCGCAGCGAUGCGUUGAGCUAACCGGUACUAAUGAACCGUGAGGCUUAACCUUACAACGCCGAAG